AUUGAACGCUGGCGGCAGGCCUAACACAUGCAAGUCGAGCGGAUGAAGGGAGCUUGCUCCUGGAUUCAGCGGCGGACGGGUGAGUAAUGCCUAGGAAUCUGCCUGGUAGUGGGGGAUAACGUCCGGAAACGGGCGCUAAUACCGCAUACGUCCUGCGGGAGCAAGUGGGGGAUCUUCGGACCUCACGCUAUCAGAUGAGCCUAGGUCGGAUUAGCUAGUUGGUGGGGUAAAGGCCUACCAAGGCGACGAUCCGUAACUGGUCUGAGAGGAUGAUCAGUCACACUGGAACUGAGACAAGGUCCAGACUCCUACGGGAGGCAGCAGUGGGGAAUAUUGGACAAUGGGCGAAAGCCUGAUCCAGCCAUGCCGCGUGUGUGAAGAAGGUCUUCGGAUUGUAAAGCACUUUAAGUUGGGAGGAAGGGCAGUAAGUUAAUACCUUGCUGUUUUAACGUUACCAACAGAAGAAGCACCGGCUAACUUCGUG
rnacentral:rRNA from 1 species